GUUCUCCAUCCUGAUAACAUGCAGUGGCUACGUGCUCUGGUGAUGGUGGUGGUGGUGGUGGUGAUGGUGCUGGCAGGUCAGGUCACCGCUAAAGCCUGCUGCGGGGGUCAUCACCACGGCGGAGGUCACCACCACGGGGGACACCACGGAGGGCACCACCACGGGGGGCACCACGGGGGACACCACCACGGAGGUCAUCACCACGGAGGUCAUCACCACGGAGGUCAUCAUGGUGGAUAUUUUGGUUAUGGGAAGUAGAAAGAACCUGACCUAACACAGCGGGCAGGACCUGAGGAAGGGUUAUAUUAGUCUCUCUCUCUCUCUCUCUCUCUCUCUCUCUCUCUCUCUCUCUCUCUCUCUCUCUCUCUCUCUCUCUCUCUCUCUCUCUCUCUCUCUCGUCGCAGCUGGGUGGACGGGAUGAGAAGAACAAAGGAUUAAAACAAUGGAAAGAUACCUUCAGAUUCUUUCACUUUCCCAUGUCGAGAAUUAACAAUAAUAACAACAGUAAUGAUGAUGAUGAUGUUUGCAAGAUGAAAAAAAUAAAAUAA